AGAAACUGCAUAGCUCCAAAAC
rnacentral:sRNA from 1 species